rnacentral:rRNA from 1 species
UACGAAGGGGGCUAGCGUUGCUCGGAAUUACUGGGCGUAAAGCGCACGUAGGCGGCUUCUUAAGUCGGUGGUGAAAUCCUGGAGCUCAACUCCAGAACUGCCUUCGAUACUGGGAAGCUCGAGUCCGGGAGAGGUGAGUGGAACUGCGAGUGUAGAGGUGAAAUUCGUAGAUAUUCGCAAGAACACCAGUGGCGAAGGCGGCUCACUGGCUCGGUACUGACGCUGAGGUGCGAAAGCAUGGGUAGCGAACAGG